rnacentral:lncRNA from 1 species
GGACAGUUAAAAGUAAGUGAUGCAUUUAGACACUUUAAAACACAGAACAACAAUCAAUUCUAUUUUAACCUGCUAUAAUAUACAGUUGAGACAUCGGGUAUUGGUGAGAAGUAGAAUAAUUCUGAUAUAUUACCAUUGUGUUCAGUGUAUUGUCAUCAGAAGGAGUAGAGUGAUGCUAUGGAGACAAGAACAAUGGGCAGCCAGAGAGUGGAUAAAGUUGGUGGAAAAGGAAGCUUUGAUAUUAGAGAAACUGGCUUAACCCAGGAUAAGGAUAGAAAGAGUCAACCACGAAUUUGUCCAAAGUGGCCAUCUUAAAAAAUAUAGAAUUUUAAUCAAGUGAAUAGGUAAGACUUCAGGUGGAAUGUUUAUUUAUGUCUGUUUCUACAUUCCUUAUAGUCACUCAGAUCAAAGGGUUUGGAUUAAGCAGCAUUGUGGUUAUCAAAUCAACAUCCACAAUAAAAAUGUUAUUAAGACUAUGAGAAAUGCCAUCUGGGCCAGCUUUAUGAUCCAUCCACCCUAAUUCCACCUUUUUCAGACUGAUCCAGGGUUAAGAUGUGCAAUGACCCGGUGGUUGCCCUCAAGACAACUUCUUAAUUUUAGGAAGAGCCUAUAAACAAUGCCAAUAACAGUGCCUGGCAAAUGAUUGCCUUGGGAGUAGUUAAUAUUUGCAGAACAAAUGAAUGAGUCCAUAAAGUCAACCAUUGUAUAAUUAUCUACAUUCCCUUGAAGCUAAUCUUACUUUAUGUUACCACUUGUACCUGACAGUUUCUUUGUUUUAAUUGCCUUAUAUUAUCUUAAAAAUUACCUAUCUUAAGCAUCAAGAAAGAAUUUUCCACCAACUUUGGUAUCCCAGAUUUUUAUUUGAUUAGUCUUUAAGUGUAAGACAGAGAAGGAGGGCUAGAGCCAUGUAGUUGAUGUACUCCCUACCUCAGCUGAACCCGUUUCAUUCAGAUGUGGAAGAAUUCUGGCUUCGGUCAUAGACAAUAUUCCUGUAAGAAAACAAACUGUUUACCAGAGUAUUUCAGUAUGACCAGCCUGAAGGAUAAAUGUUCAUUAUUUGUGACUACUCCUUUACAUGAGGGAUGAUACAAGAUUAAGGGGAGCAGAUAAGAAAAAGAAGCAUGGUUUAUAAGUAAUGCUGGCGGAAGAGUAAUUACAGGGAGUGAGCUAUUACUAUGUGUUAAUGAUUUAUUACAAUAGAUCCUAACAAAGCUUUUAUGGUAUAUAUUCACACAAUUUUGAAGGGCCUGGAGGGACGAAAAGAGGGAGGGAACAGAGGCUCAUUCCUGUGGCCAACAAUUUGUUGACAAGACACUCACCACCAUAUUUUGCAAUUUACAGGAACUAGAAAUGGUUGAUUUGUCAACAGCUGUUGAGUGUAUGUGGGAGUGAAGAGUGGAAGAGCUUUGCCUUGUUUGCUAACCCAGAUUAGAUGUUGCAGAGAAUUUGCCUUAUUCUUUUGAGUAGAAACACAAUUAAGAGAAUAGCUCUAACUGAGGGAGAUUUUUAAAUAAAGAAACACACCCGAUAAAGCAGGACACAGUGUAAGAGUCUCAGAUUGAAACAGCUCUGUGAGGAGACAGUAAGAGUUUGACCCUCAUGGCCUCCUGAAGCAAUACUGGGCAUUUAAGACAGCUAAGGUGGGUUCCCUCCAGUUUUGAAUCUAGGAAUUUGGUCAUGGGAUAAGUAUACUCUCAGAGUGUACCCAAAGCAAAUAAAUUUCAUGUAUUUAAUUAAUGAAAAACAAAUAACGAAUUUUAGAAUUUUUUUAAAAAUCUCUGGCAGAGGAGAACAUUCCAAGAGAAAGGAAUCACGUUAGGUUUGUAUACUCACACCUAUCCCACACCAAAAAAUUUACAUUGCUUUGAGAGUGCAUUAGUUAAAAAAAAAAAAAUCUCCCAUCGCUUCUCAGUAGGGAUACACUUUCAACAGACUGGAGACAUUAAGAGAAUUACAUCAGAAAGUCCUUCAACUAACAAGAACUGAAAUGUUUUCAAAAUGCCUUGUAUUGGUUUCAAGAGUAUUUAUUCCUCUGGCUCCCUGGCUGUGGGGUUGCUUCUCCUCUUCCUUUUGGGUAUAGAUAUAAGCUCUGUUGUCACCCAUCCCAGGCUACUGCACUCUCCUUUGUAAUCACCCUUUAUUAAGCUCUCGUUACAUUAUCCUAAUUUGGGGAUGCCAUCUUUUUCCUCCUAGGAGUCUGAUAUAUCACCUAAUAUCAUGAAAGAGUAUGAGGCGUCUCCACUGUAGAGUGAGAGUUUUGUAAGUAAGACAAUCUGAUAAAUAGAGAGAGAGAGAGAGAGAUUCCAUUAAAGGAUCAGCCAAAUUGUGAGGGAGAUACCAAGGUCCCAGCUUGCCUAGUGGGACCAGCUGCCUGGGAAUGGCUUGGUCUGCUGUAGUUGCAAGUCUUCCUUCUCUCUUUCCAUGUAGGAUCAUUUAAUACAGUAACACUUUCCUUAGGAAUCUAGCACAAAACCCCUCUCCUUUUCUUUGGUAAUGUCACCAUCUUUUCAGUCAGGGUUCUUCUUUCUGUUCUUCUCAAAAUUAACGUACAGUAUGAGAUAUUGCCCUCUUCUAUUGUGAAUUUAGAGUCAAAAGCGAUAGGAUUUUCAAGCUGUUAAGUGUUGUUUGAAGCCAAAUAGUACAACUUCCUCCUUUCACACAUAAGCAACUGAGGUUUCUGUAGCCAGCUGCAGAAGGUGCUUGUGCAAAGCCACACAUCUCAUGGUUAUUGCCAGUGUUAGAGCCCAUGAAACCCACAGCCCUGUUUUCUCCAGUCUAAUCUUUCUGUCCAGAGACUUUGGACUUGACAUGUGACACCACUCAGAUUAGAGGCCUCGGGCAAAGACCUCUGAGGGGAGUUUUGCAGAACAAAUAGAACAAAUAGACAGAAGAGAAAAUACAAAAAAAGGAAACUGUUUCUAACUCCUGUGGGAAUUUUCUGAGGUAUGCUUUGAGAAAUGUGCUUUAUCAGGAAUCCAACUACAAUCUAGCCACCAAAAAUUUCUGUCAUUUUUUAACAGGAUGGACAUUUUAAACAAAAAAUCAGUAUGUUAGGGUUAUGCAUGAGGCUGGUAGCCCAGGAAAGCAGUUC